CACAACAGGCUCUGACAAAUGAAUUCCGUCCGUGGAGUCAAUAUCGCCCCCACGAAUGCCGCUUCUCCUUAGUCACCGAGGAUGGGAAGCACUUUUAAUUAGAAAUUAAUUAAUGAGCACCUGCGCCUGCCCGCCCCACUGUAAUCAUUAGUCUCAAUUACAAAUGAGACAUGUGAAGGGACACACGAGCGAGUCUCCACUGAAGAUGUAAUCAACAGUUAAAAUUAGCCGGGCGCUGGCGCAGGCGGCCGGGCCUCCGCGCCCCGCUCGGCGGCAGGUGCAGGAGGGCCGCUCCGCAGGCCCGCGCGCGACCCCGACUAUUGUUUAACUGGCUCUCCGCUAGGCCUCCCGCCGGUUCGAACCCUGCUCCGGGGCGGGGAGUUCCAGAACCAGAUGCGGCUGCCAGUGUGCGCGUCCGAAGGGCAACCUGCUCUCAGCUGCAAACCUGCCUCCCAGAAACGAAAUCUGCCCGCUCUGACAGCUCGGUUGAAGGUGAUUGAUGACUGUCUGGAGACCACAGUACGCAUCAUAUAAUAUCUGCUGCGUAAUUGCUUUAAUUUACAGAUGAAAAUACGAGCUCUCCGAUCGCGCUGAACCACAGCCGGCCACGUCCGAGCUGCUUGCGAAGGAAAAUCAUCGGAAAUAAUGAAUAGCCGCCCCAUGCAAAUUAUUCAGACAGUUUAAGCGUCUGUAGCCGGGAGAGAUAUAUAAAGAACACGAGUCAAAUGA